rnacentral:lncRNA from 1 species
UUCUGUAUCUUAUUUGCUCUCUCCUUUAGGUGGAUCAAAGAAAUGAGUCGCCUUUUGAUAAGGCGGCUUUAUAAGUUGCCUUUUGAUAGGGCGACUCUCUCCUUUCUAUGUCUUUCUGUGUCUUAUUUACUCUCUCCUUAGUUAAUAUCCUCAUUUAUUUUACUCUCCAUUAACUUUAAAAUAUAAAUAUAAAUAAGCAAAUACCC